CAAAGGAGAUGGGAUUGGGAGUCAGGCCACAUUUUAGGACAAAGAUGAAGGAAUUUUCCAGAUCUAAGUAAGGCCCCAAAUCAGCUCAACUUUAAGUAAAUGCAAAGAUGACCCUGGGUGGGUCUGGUCUAAUCAAGCUACGGCUUCUUAUUUUCAUUUUACAGAAAAAAGAGGGCUCAUAGCUAUAAAGAUAGUUGCAAAAAACCCACAUAGCAUUUAAUAGAUAGUGCCCCCAUGACACCUAGACAAUUUCUUUUUUUUUUUUAACAUUAUUUUACAGUCAAAAAAUAAAAAUAAAAAAAGAUGAGGACUAUAUAUACUGGCCCAAAGAAGUUUACAACUCUGGUAAUAUCCAUACAAACUAUAUGUGAAUAGCUAUUAAAAAUUAUUAUGCAUUGUUUAUGUGUUUGUUUAGAGGUAUGUUGUUAUGCUACUUUUGUUCUGUGAAAGAUCCUUUUAAAAACUGAUUUCAGUGUGUUUAAAUUCCUGAGCAUAAUGACUUCCAAACAUUUCUACUUCAAUGUGUAAUUUCCUUGGCAACAAAGCA
rnacentral:lncRNA from 1 species